GGGCUCCCGAAACUGCAUGCUUGGUUGAAGAAGACAACCAUCCCUGAUAGAGAACUGGUCUUCGGUCAAGGGUAUAUGAGCAGCUGCACUCCCCUGCUAGAACCUCCAAACAAACUCUCAAGGUCCAAAGUGUGAGAGGGUGGCCGUGC
ensembl:misc_RNA 7SK 7SK RNA